UACGUAGGGUGCGAGCGUUGUCCGGAAUUACUGGGCGUAAAGAGCUCGUAGGUGGUUUGUCGCGUUGUUCGUGAAAACUCACAGCUCAACUGUGGGCGUGCGGGCGAUACGGGCAGACUAGAGUUCGGUAGGGGAGUCUGGAAUUCCUGGUGUAGCGGUGAAAUGCGCAGAUAUCAGGAGGAACACCGGUUGCGAAGGCGGGACUCUGGGCCGAUACUGACGCUGAGGAGCGAAAGCGUGGGGAGCAAACAGG
rnacentral:rRNA from 1 species